UAAGUGACAACUUGUAACAGUAAACAACAAAAUAUUGAAGGGCUGAGUGUUACUCCGUGAGCAUGCAGAUUGUCUGGUAUUAACCAACCAGUUUGUCUGCUUGCAUUUCUUCCUCAUUACAGAUAUCUAGCUAAACAACUUGAGAGAAAUUAUGCUGGUUUUGCUUGCUUUCUACAAUACCAUUUACACUUAAAACCCAAUAACAAAGAAACUAUGUCAUUAAUUUCUUCUGCUAGAUCAUCCUUUUGACAGUAAUCAAUGAUGAUUAAUAUAGUGCAGAGAUAUAGUCUAUACAUCAUCGUCAUGAGCCCUUGAAAGAAUGUAAUAAUAACAGUACUAUAGUAUAUUGACGUAUGAUCAUGUUACAAAAAAUACCUAUAAAAAAACAAAAACCGAAUACAUAACUUAUAUAUAUUCACCUCGUACAAAAUCUAAAACAAACGCAAACUUCUGAUCCUACGAAGCUGCAUCUCCACCGUUUUGAUGCUGCAAGCUCUUCAUAUUAGUAGGCUUUAAUUCCCAGAUUUUAUGUACCAGAAUAAUUAAUUGAGAAGCUUGUAGUUAAUGCCCACGGCCGCGACGGCUAGGCCCCGAGUAAGCCCUCUCCAGCAGCAACCCGAGAAAACACGAAGACGACGACGAUGAGGAGUAAUUAUUAGCAAUUGGCCGCGAGCUCUGGACGCUCGAGAUCAUGAGGAAAAAUAUGACGACAAAAAUGGCAUUGAAAGCCAGAAGAAGAGAGGAUGCCAUUUUUGGUUGUUAUGAAUAAUAAGAGUACAAAUGGGAAUGGGUGUAUAUAUACAUGCAAAGAGCUGGGAAAGGGGGCAGGUGCUUUCUUGAACAAGUUAAGGGAGUAUGUUUCUUUGACAUUUCUGAGGCGAGGUGGGCUAGCACGAGGAAUGAGUUCUCAUUUGGAGCAACUCUAUUUAUUACAUUUUGAAUUGUUUUGUGUUCCAAACGUGUAGCUCAAGAACUCAACAUGCCGGAUUUCAAGCCUUAUUCCAAGUCAAUAAUAAACACUAUCC
rnacentral:lncRNA from 1 species